GGGUGUCAAUAACAAUGACACUGUAUCUUUGAGAGUAAUUUAUUAAAUAUGUCACUUUCCAGCCAACAAGUUAUCGUAUAACAUGCAGAAAUAACCAACUUGACAGAAAACCCCUGAAAACUACACAUAACAAAAGGUUUAUAGUUAAGCAAUUCCUAUAAUGACAAAGACAUACAACUGAAUAA